rnacentral:rRNA from 1 species
GAUGAACGCUGGCGGCGUGCCUAAUACAUGCAAGUCGAGCGAACAGACGAGGAGCUUGCUCCUCUGACGUUAGCGGCGGACGGGUGAGUAACACGUGGAUAACCUACCUAUAAGACUGGGAUAACUUCGGGAAACCGGAGCUAAUACCGGAUAAUAUAUUGAACCGCAUGGUUCAAUAGUGAAGGACGGUUUUGCUGUCACUUAUAGAUGGAUCCGCGCCGCAUUAGCUAGUUGGUAAGGUAACGGCUUACCAAGGCAACGAUGAGUAGCCGACCUGAGAGGGUGAUCGGCCACACUGGAACUGAGACACGGUCCAGACUCCUACGGGAGGCAGCAGUAGGGAAUCUUCCGCAAUGGGCGAAAGCCUGACGGAGCAACGCCGCGUGAGUGAUGAAGGUCUUCGGAUCGUAAAACUCUGUUAUUAGGGAAGAACAAAUGUGUAAGUAACUAUGCACGUCUUGACGGUACCUAAUCAGAAAGCCACGGCUAACUACGUG